GCCGGGGUAGGGUAGAGGUCCAUCCUGUGGCCCUGUGGAGGCUACGACCCGAGUUCGAUUCUCGGUCCCGGCCCCA
rnacentral:tRNA from 1 species